CCUACGGGUGGCAGCAGUGAGGAAUAUUGGUCAAUGGACGCAAGUCUGAACCAGCCAUGCCGCGUGCAGGAAGACGGCCCUAUGAGUUGUAAACUGCUUUUGUACGAGGGUAAACGCAGAUACGCGUAUCUGUCUGAAAGUAUCGUAUGAAUAAGGAUCGGCUAACUCCGUGCCAGCAGCCGCGGUAAUACGGAGGAUUCAAGCGUUAUCCGGAUUUAUUGGGUUUAAAGGGUGCGUAGGUGGGCGGAUAAGUUAGAUGUGAAAUCUCGAGGCUCAACUUCGGAAUUGCCUCUGAUACUGGUCGGCUAGAGAAUAGUUGAGGUAGGCGGAAUGCAUGGUGUAGCGGUGAAAUGCUUAGAGAUCAUGCAGAACACCGAUUGCGAAGGCAGCUUACCAAGCUACUACUGACGUUGAGGCACGAAAGCGUGGGGAGCAAACAGGAUUAGAUACCCUGGUAGUC
rnacentral:rRNA from 1 species